rnacentral:lncRNA from 1 species
CUUUACAGGAGUUCCCAGCCCAGUGGCACUUUAUGAAUCUGUCUUCCAAGUAAGACUUCAGAGGAGCCAACCUCCCCUAAAAGACUACAGAAGGAUCAUACUUGUAACCAAGACUGUUACUAUUAUAUGAAGACUUUCUCUAAUUGGCUUUGCUUUCUCUAGGCAGAGCCCACUCUAUUAUAUAUUAGAGUCUUCUCAAAUAUAUUAAUCCACAAGUCACUGAUGAACAAAAGCAACAUGUGGCCAAGCUUUAGCAUUUACUUCCCAAAAGAUUUCAUAUGCAAGUUUCUCACACAAGUCUGAAUCUUACAUAUGCCAAAGAGAACUCUGGAGCCCAAGUUCUUCCAAAGUUCUUGAUUUCAGCCAUCAAGGAACUAAUGUUGAGCUGUGGAGCAGUCAGAUAACCAACAGGGUUUGUAAUGUGCACAGCUCAUUCAUCUUUUUGGCUCAACUAAAAAUUCCUAGGCCAUCCUGUGAACACAAGAAGCCCUGAAAGCUCAAGAUAUUUCUGACAAAAUUGUUUUUAAAAAAAGCUGUAGUGAUGGUGAGGAGAAUUCACUGAAGGAAGAAUGGCACACAUUUAAUUGUGUCUUCUUUGUUGAAACGAUAAAGAAAAAGUCCUUUCAACAAUAAAAUUUAGUUUCUAAUA